UGCCGCCUCCCGAGAUUCCGAGCGCGGCGACAAGCAGAUUUCCUUGGAUGUCUCCUUGCCCCUACCGUGCUCGAUUUCAUUCAAAGGCUUCAGGACCUAUUUGUGCUUUCAGAUGAAGACUGAAUGCACGUGCAAAUACGAUCAGGAUGCAAUCGAGGAAUAUACGGGACUAUUUCUGCAAUUGUUGUCCCUCCCUAACUCCGUUGAGUCGAUAACCAUAUCAUCCUGUGAUGUA